UACAGGGGGGGCAAGCGUUGUUCGGAAUUACUGGGCGUAAAGGGUUCGUAGGCGGCCAACUAAGUCAGACGUGAAAUCCCUCGGCUUAACCGGGGAACUGCGUCUGAUACUGGAUGGCUAGAGGUUGGGAGAGGGAUGCGGAAUUCCAGGUGUAGCGGUGAAAUGCGUAGAUAUCUGGAGGAACACCGGUGGCGAAGGCGGCAUCCUGGACCAAUUCUGACGCUGAGGAGCGAAAGCCAGGGGAGCAAACGGG
rnacentral:rRNA from 1 species